UACGUAGGGGGCGAGCGUUGUCCGGAUUUAUUGGGCGUAAAGAGCGUGUAGGCGGCCAUGUAGGUCCGGUGUGAAAACUCGAGGCUUAACCUCGAGAUGUCAUCGGAAACCAUUUGGCUAGAGUCCGGAAGAGGAGAGUGGAAUUCCCGGUGUAGCGGUGAAAUGCGCAGAUAUCGGGAAGAACACCCGUGGCGAAGGCGGCUCUCUGGGACGGUACUGACGCUGAGACGCGAAAGCGUGGGGAGCGAACAGG
rnacentral:rRNA from 1 species